UGGGGUUGCCUUCUAGUCACUUGCCUUGAAGGACUAAUUGAAGGUCUACCCCAACAUGUCUGGAAAAAAAUCUUUUGCUUUUGUAUUGAUCUGCUUCAUGGUGUCUCACUGGAGAGGGUCUCUAAGUUCUGGCCAUCAGGAAAAAGAAAACAUGGGAAGAGAGAUCUGGACCUGAGAAGAAGUCGAUCCUCUAAUACCCUUCAACAUUGGACCUGUUGUUCCAAGACCCUCCUCCUCCUUAUACACCUACUCUUUUCCCCACAGCCUUGCCAGAGCCAGCACUGGCCCUGGCAUUCGUGGCCCAUAUGCUUCCAGCGCCAUUAUACCCCUCUUUACAGGAGGGAGGAGUGGGAGGAGACCCCAACUUCCUGGUCCUCCCAAGGGGACCUGAAGUCAGAGAGCUACCUCCCCUGAUACCACAGUAGCCUUCCCUCUGAAGGCAUAAGGACCUCUAGACAAUAAGAGCAAUCAGACUAUGCAAUAUUGGCCAUUUUCGUCUGCUGACCUGUACAAAUAGAAAUCUCAGCAUCCCCCUUUCUUAGAUAAUCCUGAAGGUUUUAUUAAUCUCUUUGAAGCUGUCCUGUUUACCCAUCAACCCACUUGGGAUGAGAUACAACAGCUUAUGUGAGUCCUCUUCACCACUGAGGAGAGAGAAAGAAUCCUCAAUGUGACCCAAAAGAAUGUGCCCUUGGACACGGGGGGGGGGGGGAGCUCCCUCAGCAAACCCAGCAGUCAUUGACACAGGAUUCCGUUUAACCCGA